CCCCUACGGGGGGCAGCAGUGGGGGAUAUUGCACAAUGGGGGAAACACUGAUGCAGCGACGCCGCGGGAGUGAAGAAGUAUUUCGGUACGUAAAGCUCUAUCAGCAGGGAAGAAUAAUGACGGUACCUGACUAAGAAGCCCCGGCUAACUACGUGCCAGCAGCCGCGGUAAUACGUAGGGGGCAAGCGUUAUCCGGAUUUACUGGGUGUAAAGGGAGCGUAGACGGCUGUGCAAGUCUGAAGUGAAAUGCCGGGGCCCAACCCAGGAACUGCUUUGGAAACGGUACAGCUGGAGUGCAGGGGGGG
rnacentral:rRNA from 1 species